GAGGUCACAAACUCGGGAGGAGUCUGCUUUCACAGGGUUUUAGCAGAGCUGAACAACCUGUGUUAAUUCAAAUUAAUCCCUCCAGUGUCCCCGUGUAGACAAGCCCGUGGUUCUGAUGCUCCUCUUGUGUGUUUCACAGUCUCUACACCGAAGCUAAUAUUUUCCUCAUCUCUUUUGGGUGAUGCUAAAACUCCGUCCUUUAUCUCGUAGAUGACUGUUAUGUUAAAUGCAGAAUGCGUUAAAUUGGAUGCCUCACAGUUUGGAUGAAAUUUGUUACUUCAGGGCUUAACAUUUCAUCUUGGCUUAUGAUGAGGAGGAUGAACGCUGAUAGGAUGUUGUCUUCAUUCUCCAGGAAUGCCAAAGAGUCCCCACCGAGGUCCGUACCAGGUGCUGAACAAGUCUCUGCAACAACGGGCUUUUAGCCAAAGGGUGGUGUUUUCAACCUCAUUUGAAGAUCUGAGAAAUGCUUGCGCCACUAAAUCCCUGAGACCUGCAUAAAUCGAUCCCAAGACUCAAGGCAGAUGUAGAGCAGGAUUGAUCAGAAAUCACAGAUGCAAUGGGAUAUCUGGAAUUGGAGACGUUGAGCACGGGUAAGUAGCGGCCAGCUGUAUCGCUCUAGGGAAGAGGAUCCUAGUCCAAGUACAUUGACCAUAUAUAGUAGAAAUAGACUGGAGUUCUAUUAAUUUGUAAGAGUGACUGGCUCUCGGCUGUAUUAUGAUGGAAAGUGUAUUUUGUAAGAGCAUGUUACCUGUAUUACUACUAUUACUUUACAAAUGGUUUAAAGCUAUUUAAUAGUCUCCUUUGAGCAUCUGAAUAACGAUAGGGAAUGUGUUUUCCUGGGUGAUUCUGCUAUGAAGGCAGUAACUCCUCUUUGAAACCAAGCAUAUUUAAAACAGAAUGAUAAUUUGUAAAGAUAUAAUCAGAGGCUUUGCCAACAAAUCCUCGUUGCUAGAUGUAGGGUUUUUCAGGUCAAGACCUUUUUUCCUGUACAGUGCUGAGCCCUCUGGUGGUGUUUAGCAAACAACAAAUGCAGUGUGGACCCUGUAGGACUCAGCCAAAUUCACCUCGGGUGUAAUGGCCUAUGCAGGAUGCACCAGGGUUGAACUGACCCCCUAAGAGAGAAGUGAAGAACCAGCUGCCUCCUGUAGCUGACAGCACCUGGCUGUGCUAUUGCUACUCAGACAGUAGCUUGGGUGUAGGAGAGCGUGGUGAGGGACAGAAGACAGACCUGUUGUUCACCUUCUCCUAAUAUUGGUCCUUGUUUGGUAUUUUUCUUUUUUUAAUGUAUCUUUGGAAAGCUUCACAGCUGUCACGCAGCUGUCAUGUAGUUGGUCCAGCAUUGCUUCUUACCCCUGAGAAUUGGAUCUGCUGCCAUUGCUUCACUGCGUCUCAGCGUGAGCAAAGCCACCCUUCUUCCUGUCAGAUACAGCAAAACAAUCCUUACCUGGUCCUAGCUGGGGACACUUUCCUGCCUCUCUUUCUUUCUUAUGGCACACGACUGGUUUCAGAUGACUGCAGUGGAUCAGCACGUACAAGUACCAGUGUGUCAGCGUGCAGCGGAGUCUCUGCAUGCUGCUGCUCAUAGCCGUGUUUGUUUGUGAUGGAGAUAAGUGAAGGCUGAAAACGGGGAAACAAUAGGCAGGGGAAUGCUGAUGAGAGAUGAUAAAGAGUUACAUUAACACUUCUUGCACACAGCUUUAUGUUGAGUUUGCAAAUUUGGAAACUUGACUGCUGGUAAUAUUGGAUACUUCUGUCAAACGAGGGCAGGGCGAUUUAUCUUAACAGGCCUGCCUUGUGUAAUCGCCUCCAGGAAAGGAAAGGCAGUAAUCCGUGCUACCUACAGUAGUGCAGAGCAGCAGCCAGCGCGGUGGGGUCUGGGCCCUGAACGGGCUUUCUGCAGCACCUAGAGCUUCCCCAGUUAUUUAUUAGCAACUGUCAUUAAAUCUCUGUCUUCUCCAUGCCAUGUCUGAAUGUAGUUAUUAAGAACUUGGAUUAUGUGCCGGGCAAGCUGUUGAUGUAAGACACCUCUGUGCACCUGUCCACUUAGGAGGCUGAUCUUAUAUCGGUCUUAACUUCAGGAAGUGGCUGUUCCUAAUAAUUUAUUGAGUGCUGACAGCCUGUUCUUUUCUGUCCAGAAUACCUCCUCCCUGUGAAGGCUGCAUACUGAGUAAGGCAGACAGUGCCCUAUAAAUCACGAUCAAAUGCAGCCAUGCUGCAGUGAUUCAAUAUGUGAUUCAUUUAAGAUUGGAGGGGAGGAGGAGAGAUGGGAAAAGAUGGGAUAAAAGCACUUUCCUGAAGAAUGCUAAGUGGAGAUCACAGAUUAUUUUCAAUUAGAUUUGCUGGCAUGCAGCUUUUGCAAGCAGGCAGGAACUGGUAGUCAUGUGAACCGUCUGCUUUAUUCACGGGAGCAGUGCUUAGAUGUCCUUCUCGAGAGCUACUUAAAAAGCAGUUCUGUUUAUCUGCAAAGGAAAAAAAAUUAUAACGUUGCUCUGCUUUUCAGCCCUUAGGUUAUGUCUAUUUUCACCAAGGUCUUGCUAAGCAUUUGUUCUUGAAUCAAAAGGCAUUUUCGAUUGAUGAGAGCAAUUAAACAAUUUGGAGGUGGCUGCCUGUGUUAGGUCUGGCUCGAAGGAUUUUGGUGUCUCUCAGAAAUUCUAUACUGAGAGGUUUCUGAUGUGUGUCAAAGAACUCAAUUUAAACUCCGGUUCUGGGGCAGGGUGUGUGCAUGUGUGUGUAAUGACACAGGGGAGGAAGUCUGUCUUUCAGCCGCGCUGUCUGAAGAGGUGUUCAGAAGACUCCGCAGCUUUUGUCAGCCUCGCUUUCUUGUUCGAAUGACUUCAGAGUUCAAAGAGACUGCUGCACAGACCUACCUCUGAGAUAGCGGUCCCCCUCGGGGGCAGCAACCAGCAGCCUUUGUGGAUGAUGACUGACUGCCUCUCCUGGCUGGCGUGGCAGGAGUCAGUGGGACAGCUGUGAAAGUACCUGCGAGGCAGAAGGAACGCAAGGUUCGUGGUUUGAACCCGAGGCGUGUCCUGGGAAGACUUGAACCCUGUCGUGCCCAGCUCUGGACAGACAUGGAAGCAAGGUACAAA